rnacentral:rRNA from 1 species
UACAGAGGUUGCAAGCGUUGUUCGGAUUUACUGGGCGUAAAGGGUGCGUAGGCGGUCUUGUAUGUCAGAUGUGAAAGCCCAUGGCUCAACCAUGGAACUGCAUUUGAAACUGCAAAACUAGAGUAUCGGAGAGGUAGAUGGAAUUCUUAGUGUAGCGGUGAAAUGCGUAGAUAUUAAGAAGAACACCAGCGGCGAAAGCGAUCUACUGGACGAAUACUGACGCUGAGGCACGAAAGCCAGGGGAGCGAAGAGG